rnacentral:rRNA from 1 species
GACGAACGCUGGCGGCGUGCUUAACACAUGCAAGUCGAACGGAAAGGCCCCUUUGUUGGUACUCGCGCGGCGAACGGGUGAGUAACACGUGCGUAACCUGCCCUUGACUUCGGGAUAACUUCAGUAAACUGGGGCUAAUACCGGAUAGGAAUCCUUUCUUCCUGCUGGGGGUUGGAUAGCUUCGGCGGUUUGGGAUGGACUCGCGGCUUAUCAGCUUGCUGGUGGGGUAGUGGGUUACCUAGGCUUUGUCGGGUAGCCGGCCUGGGAGGGCGACCGGCCACAAUGGGACUGAGAUACGGCCCAGACUCCUACGGGGAGGAGCAGGGGGGAAUAAUGCACAAUGGGCGGAAGCCGGGUGCAGCAACGCCGCGUGCGGGAUGACGGCCUUCGGGUUGUAAAACGCUUUCAGCAGGGGAGAAGCUUGUGGUGACGGUACCUGCAGAAGAAGCACCGGCUAACUACGUG